ACCAGACUCCUACGGGAGGCAGCAGUGGGGAAUAUUGGGCAAUGGGCGCAAGCCUGACCCAGCAACGCCGCGUGAAGGAAGAAGGCUUUCGGGUUGUAAACUUCCUUUGUCAGGGACGAAGCAAGUGACGGUACCUGACGAAUAAGCCACGGCUAACUACGUGCCAGCAGCCGCGGUAAUACGUAGGUGGCAAGCGUUAUCCGGAUUUACUGGGUGUAAAGGGCGUGUAGGCGGGACUGCAAGUCAGAUGUGAAAUCCGGGGGCUCAACCUGUGGCCUGCAUUUGAAACUGUUUUUCUUGAGUACUGGAGAGGCAGACGGAAUUCCUAGUGUAGCGGUGAAAUGCGUAGAUAUUAGGAGGAACACCAGUGGCGAAGGCGGUCUGCUGGACAGCAACUGACGCUGAGGCGCGAAAGCGUGGGGAGCAAACAGGAUUAGAUACCCCAGUA
rnacentral:rRNA from 1 species